rnacentral:rRNA from 1 species
GACGAACGCUGGCGGCGUGCUUAACACAUGCAAGUCGAGCGAUGAAAUCCCUUCGGGGAUGGAUUAGCGGCGGACGGGUGAGUAACACGUGGGUAACCUGCCUCAAAGAGGGGGAUAGCCUCCCGAAAGGGAGAUUAAUACCGCAUAACAUUAGUUUUUCGCAUGGAGAACUAAUUAAAGGAGUAAUCCGCUUUGAGAUGGACCCGCGGCGCAUUAGCUAGUUGGUGAGGUAACGGCUCACCAAGGCGACGAUGCGUAGCCGACCUGAGAGGGUGAUCGGCCACAUUGGAACUGAGACACGGUCCAGACUCCUACGGGAGGCAGCAGUGGGGAAUAUUGCACAAUGGGCGAAAGCCUGAUGCAGCAACGCCGCGUGAGUGAUGAAGGCCUUCGGGUUGUAAAGCUCUGUCUUUUGGGACGAUAAUGACGGUACCAAAGGAGGAAGCCACGGCUAACUACGUGCCAGCCGCCGCAGUAA